CUCAGUAACAGCUGCAAUGCAGUAGGAGAUACAGAUACAGGAUAUGAUAUGGAAAGGAUGUUUCAAUAGCUGCCAGCUUAGUUUAUUCAGUCCAGGUGCUGAGAACCAGUUGGAUCUUUCUGCGUCUUCCCAGGGGAGUUAGCAUUUGAAGACCUCACACCAAAGCCCUGAAUGCUUCAACAAAAGAAACCUUGGAGAGGAACAUAUUUUACCUACACAGAAAGACUGAACACUGCUGAAGGUGGAUCUUGUCUCCCAGAUGACUUUCUGAAAGUGCUAAAGGUCUUGUGGACGUACGUGGGCUGGAAAGCAACCAAACAUUUCCUGCCCUCAGCACCUUGGGUGUGCAGCUCAGACAAGACUGGAGCUGCUAUUUAGCAAUGAAUUAGAGAUAUGAUUCAGAACAAAACGAGAGGCAGAUGAG
rnacentral:lncRNA from 1 species